GCAGAAGAUCCGUCUCCUCCUCAGCCUGAGUCUGUGUCUGGAGCUGAAGACACGUCCGACCCUCCUAAAGACACUCCAGAACCAGACGAAACCAAACAAACCAGCGCCCUGAAGAUCAGUUUCAGGAAGAGAAAAGAAGAGCCGCUCCAAACAUCAGCGGACGACGGAGGAGAGAGAAGCUCAGAUGAUGGAGGAAACGGUGAGGAGAAACGGGAAGAUUCGGCCGUGACUGAUGCAGUGAAGGAGGUCGAGACGCCUGUGAAGAGACCCAGAAAGACCAAUCCGUACGGAGCCUGGGAACGAAUCCAGCCACAGGAGGAUCCAUACGAGAAGGUGGAUCUGCAGCUGCCGCAGACGGAGAGCGUCGCUCAGACUCCAGCCAGCGUCCCUCCGGAGCCCAGGGCCAGAUUCAAGGAGCGCACCAUCACGUCGCUGGGGGCCGAGAGCAGCGCCGGAGCCACGUUCAAGAAGAGGAAGACCGAGAACAGCAAGUCCAGGAGCCUCCGGCAGAGAGAAACAGACGAGUAGAAGCGUCUAGACGGGACGAGUCUUCAGAUCUUGCUUUAGAAUUUGAGUAUUUUACAUAUGUGUCCCUCCAGCACAAAAGCAGUCUUAAGCAGCACACAAAACUGAUCCUUAAGACUGGUUUUGUGCUCCAGGGUCACAUAUUAUUGGCAGGUGAUGCUUUAACUGCCUCCACCUGCUUCUCUGUGAAUAUUUCCAGGCAUCAGUUUUGUUUCCAGAGGUUAAAGUGAUCAGGUGUGAAGCGAGUGUGUCGUGUGUUUUACAAUAUUUGUGAUGACAAUGUUGUCAUGAAGAAUCAAAGCCAUAGUUUAAUUAGACACGUUCUAUCUUACAGAUGAAUCUGGACUUUCAUUGCUCAUCUCAAACCACAUUAAAAAAGUUUUGACAGUAAAACUGCAUCAGUUUCUUCACUGUGUGUAGUAUCCUGCGAUGCUGGUUCAAAUCUUCUUGACGCUCACUGAGAAGGGUUAUAAGCCUCAUAUCAACAUGAUUCAGAGCAGAUGAUGAUGAAUGCUUCUGUGAGCGUCUGAUAGGCUCAAUGCCUCGAUGAUAGUCGCUGUCCACACCCACAUCAACAAUCCACAGAGCGCCUGACGCAACAUUAGAAACCCAAACAGAUU